GAUGAACGCUGGCGGCGUGCCUAAUACAUGCAAGUCGAGCGAACAGACGAGGAGCUUGCUCCUCUGACGUUAGCGGCGGACGGGUGAGUAGCACGUGGAUAACCUACCUAUAAGACUGGGAUAACUUCGGGAAACCGGAGCUAAUACCGGAUAAUAUAUUGAACCGCAUGGUUCAAUAGUGAAAGACGGUUUUGCUGUCACUUAUAGAUGGAUCCGCGCCGCAUUAGCUAGUUGGUAAGGUAACGGCUUACCAAGGCAACGAUGCGUAGCCGACCUGAGAGGGUGAUCGGCCACACUGGAACUGAGAAACGGUCCAGACGCCUACGGGAGGCAGCAGUAGGGAAUCUUCCGCAAUGGGCGGAAGCUUGACGGAGCAACGCCGCGUGAGUGAUGAAGGUCUUCGGAUCGUAAAACUCUGUUAUUAGGGAAGAACAAAUGUGUAAGUAACUAUGCACGUCUUGACGGUACCUAAUCAGAAAGCCACGGCUAACUACGUG
rnacentral:rRNA from 1 species